UACGGGGGGGGCAAGCGUUGUUCGGAAUUACUGGGCGUAAAGGGCGCGUAGGCGGUUCGCUAAGUCGGAUGUGAAAACUCUGGGCUCAACUCAGAGCCUGCAUCCGAAACUGGCGGGCUAGAGUUCUGGAGGGGGUAGCGGAAUUCCUGGUGUAGCGGUGAAAUGCGUAGAUAUCAGGAGGAACACCGGUGGCGAAGGCGGCUACCUGGACAGAAACUGACGCUGAGGCGCGAAAGCUAGGGGAGCGAACGGG
rnacentral:rRNA from 1 species